AUUGAACGCUGGCGGCAGGCCUAACACAUGCAAGUCGAGCGGGGUUUUCGGACCUAGCGGCGGACGGGUGAGUAAUGCGUAGGAAGCUACCCGAUAGAGGGGGAUACCAGUUGGAAACGACUGUUAAUACCGCUUAAUGUCUACGGACCAAAGUGUGGGACCUUCGGGCCACAUGCUAUCGGAUGCGCCUACGUGGGAUUAGCUAGUUGGUGGGGUAAUGGCUCACCAAGGCGACGAUCCCUAGCUGGUUUGAGAGGAUGAUCAGCCACACUGGAACUGAGACACGGUCCAGACUCCUACGGGAGUCAGCAGUGGGGAAUAUUGGACAAUGGGCGCAAGCCUGAUCCAGCCAUGCCGCGUGUGUGAAGAAGGCCUUCGGGUUGUAAAGCACUUUCAGUAGGGAGGAAGGGUGUUGUGUUAAUAGCACAGCAUUUUGACGUUACCUACAGAAGAAGCACCGGCUAACUCUGUGCCAGCCGCCGCAGUAAUAC
rnacentral:rRNA from 1 species